AGGUAGAAUCAGAAAAAAAGCCAGAAGAUCGUUGUCAUCCCAUUUAGUCUUUGAAAUACGUCCCACCACUGCUGCAUUUGUACAGGGAAAACACUGAGACUACAUAGUCUGAAUCAUCCAACCCUUCUUUACAGCGGUAGUGCCCCAAUUUUCUAUGGAAAAAUUGUUUUCUAUGGAAAACAAAAGAAUUAAGUGACUCAAACUACAAUUCCCACAGUUGCUCAGAGGGACUGGGUGAGAGUGAUGGGUUUUCUGCCUCUGGGGUGUCCAUGCUGAGGCUAGAUGCCAACUUGUUUGUGACAUCAACGAUAUUAUGGAGGGUUUAUGGUGGGUUGAGUGUUGGAGGAGAACAGUGGUUUCCAGACCAUCCAACAUCCCCCAAACUGCUGUUGUAGCUAAAGGAACUGGGAGGAUCAGAGACCUCAUCCCAGCUCUGUUUACUUUGGGAACAAUCGCUGAUGUAUGA
rnacentral:lncRNA from 1 species